GGAGAAAAGCAGGGGAUCGCAAGACCUUGCGCUAAAGGAGCGGCUGAUGUCUGAUUAGCUAGUUGGUGAGGUAAAGGCUCACCAAGGCAACGAUCAGUAGUUGGUCUGAGAGGACGGCCAACCACACUGGGACUGAGACACGGCCCAGACUCCUACGGGAGGCAGCAGUGGGGAAUUUUGGACAAUGGGCGAAAGCCUGAUCCAGCCAUGCCGCGUGAGUGAAGAAGGCCUUCGGGUUGUAAAGCUCUUUUAGUCGGAAAGAAAGAGUUGCAAUGAAUAAUUAUGAUUUAUGACGGUACCGACAGAAAAAGCACCGGCUAACUACGUGCCAGCAGCCGCGGUAAUACGUAGGGUGCGAGCGUUAAUCGGAAUUACUGGGCGUAAAGGGUGCGCAGGCGGUCUUGCAAGUCAGAUGUGAAAGCCCCGGGCUUAACCUGGGAAUUGCGUUUGAAACUACAAGGCUAG
rnacentral:rRNA from 1 species